ACAGGGGGAGCUGAAAACCUGAAACAGAGUAGGCU
rfam:Dyadobacter sp. Leaf189 contig_1, whole genome shotgun sequence.